rnacentral:misc_RNA from 1 species
GAUGAAGAACGCAGCGAAAUGCGAUACUUGGUGUGAAUUGCAGAAUCCCGUGAACCAUCGAGUCUUUGAACGCAAGUUGCGCCUCAAGCCAUUAGGUUGAGGGCACGUCUGCCUGGGCGUCACAUAUCGUUGCCUGAUGCCAGUUUCCUCGUGAUGGAUGACUGUGCAGGGCGAAUGAUGGCUUCCCGUGAGCAUUGUUGCCUCAUGGUUGGUUGAAAAUUGAGUCCUUGGUAGGGAGCGCCGUGAUAGAUGGUGGUUGAGUGACGAACGAGACCCAAUCAUGUGAGACCCCUACCGAAUUUGGCCUUCAUGACCCACAUGCGUCUUUGGAACGCUCAUGACGAGACCUCAGGUCAGGCGGGGCUACCCGCUGAGUUUAAGCAUAUCAAUAAGCGGAGG